rnacentral:lncRNA from 1 species
CAAUAUGAAAAUCGACGAGUCUGUACCAGCGCUUUUACAAUACUGUUCACGAGCAGAACGCUAUGAGAGUCGCUGACCAAAUUCUCUGGUAUAUUAAGGGCUUGGUUCACGAGGUCUCGAUACCAAAUGUAGUAGCUGGCCGCUAAAAAGGCCUCUCGAGAUGCUAGUGGACACCCUUAGCGUGUAUUUGUAGAUAUGUG